GAAUUAUUGGAUGUUGUGGGAGAAGUGAAUUGUGCAUGAAGACCUUGCCACACUCAUUUCAUUUGGAAGGCUUCUCUCCAGUAUGGACCACCUGAUGAGCUGGCCUAUCUGGUGGAUUCCCAAGUUCAGCAAUCUUUCAGCCACUGAGCAUUCUGGCCUCAAUGGUGGCAGCUCCCCUACCCUGCUGGUGGCAAAGGAAACUCCUGUUGCUGAGUUCUAGGAAAGCCAGGGCCACUGACGUUAUCAGGAGCAAAAAACCAAAGUGCCAGAGGCUCCAUGUCUCCUCUAGCCCAGCUCUUAAGGAAGCCCGCACCACCACUCUCUCCUCCUCCCCUACUCUUCAGAUCAGUUAAAGAAGGAAGACGACUUUUAAAUGGGGAAGAAGAGCAAGUUCCAUAACUCCUUCAGUUCCGUUUUUCUUAUAAUAGCCCCACAGCUUCUUGGCAUUUCCAGAGAGCAGUUUGUCCCGAUGUACAAACUCUGUGCAGCUAAGCAGAAAUAGAGAAUGUGGCCUUAACUGUAAAAAAAAAUAAUAAUUACCACAGUUUCUUACUUAAAUCAUACUUCCUAUCCAAGGAAGCACCUGUCUUUUUGCCACCUUUCUUCACAAGCAACACAUGUGUGAGCUCCUCACUGGGCAAGAUGGGUCACUGAUGAGUGAUACAGGCACCCACCUCCUGGAGGGAGCAUUCGCAGAUCAUAUGGAAUAACCUGGCUUACCAAGCAAGGCACCACGCUCCAAACUUUGGAUUUUUUAUUGCUACAUUCUGCAAUUUUUUACAAGACAAUCUUUACUGUUCCUGAGUUGCAUGUCUAGCAAAAAAGGAUGAAGAAUCAUGACAAUUGCAGUAGGCAGCUUCUAAAAUGGCUCCCAAUAAUCCCCGCCUCCCAGUAUUCACUCCCAUAUGGACUGGACCCAAUGACUUGCUCCUAAGAAAUGGAAUGCAGCAAAAGUGGCAGAUGUCACUUCCAAGGGGGAGGUUAUAAAAGGUACUGGUGGCCGGGCAUGGUGGCUCAUACGUGUAAUCCUAGCACUUUGGGAGGCCGAGGCAGGUGGAUCACCUGAGCUCAGGAGUUUGAGACAACCCUGGCCAACAUGGUGAAACCCCAUCUCUACUAAAAAUAUUAAAAAUUAGCCAGGCAUGGUGGUGUGCACCUGUAAUCCCAGCUACUUGGGAGGCUGAGGCACGAGAAUCGUUUGAACCCGAAGGCAGAGGUUGCAGUGAGCCAAGAUCACAC
rnacentral:lncRNA from 1 species